GAUGAACGCUGGCGGCGUGCCUAAUACAUGCAAGUCGAGCGAACAGACGAGGAGCUUGCUCCUCUGACGUUAGCGGCGGACGGGUGAGUAACACGUGGAUAACCUACCUAUAAGACUGGGAUAACUUCGGGAAACCGGAGCUAAUACCGGAUAAUAUAUUGAACCGCAUGGUUCAAUAGUGAAAGACGGUUUUGCUGUCACUUAUAGAUGGAUCCGCGCCGCAUUAGCUAGUUGGUAAGGUAACGGCUUACCAAGGCAACGAUGCGUAGCCGACCUGAGAGGGUGAUCGGCCACACUGGAACGGAGACACGGUCCAGACUCCUACGGGAGGCAGCAGUAGGGAAUCUUCCGCAAUGGGCGAAAGCCUGACGGAGCAACGCCGCGUGAGUGAUGAAGGUCUUCGGAUCGUAAAACUCUGUUAUUAGGGAAGAACAAAUGUGGAAGUAACUAUGCACGUCUUGACGGUAACUAAUCAGAAAGCCACGGCUAACUACGUG
rnacentral:rRNA from 1 species